AAUCAACGCUGGCGGCGUGCCUAACACAUGCAAGUCGAACGAGAAAGGGACUUCGGUCCUGAGUACAGUGGCGCACGGGUGAGUAACACGUGACUAACCUACCCUUGAGUGGGGAAUAACUUCGAGAAAUCGAGGCUAAUACCGCAUAACACCUACGGGUCAAAGGAGCAAUUCGCUUAAGGAGGGGGUCGCGGCAGAUUAGUUAGUUGGCGGGGUAAUGGCCCACCAAGACAGUGACUGUAUCCGGCCUGAGAGGGCGCACGGACACACUGGAACUGAAACACGGUCCAGACUCCUACGGGAGGCAGCAGUGGGGAAUUUUGCGCAAUGGGGGAAACCCUGACGCAGCAACGCCGCGUGGAGGAUGAAGUCUCUUGGGACGUAAACUCCUUUCGACCGGGACGAUAAUGACGGU
rnacentral:rRNA from 1 species